rnacentral:rRNA from 1 species
GACGAACGCUGGCGGCGUGCUUAACACAUGCAAGUCGAACGGAAAGGCCCUGCUUUUGUGGGGUGCUCGAGUGGCGAACGGGUGAGUAACACGUGAGUAACCUGCCCUUGACUUUGGGAUAACUUCAGGAAACUGGGGCUAAUACCGGGUAGGAGCUCCUGCUGCAUGGUGGGGGUUGGAAAGUUUCGGCGGUUGGGGAUGGACUCGCGGCUUAUCAGCUUGUUGGUGGGGUAGUGGCUUACCAAGGCUUUGACGGGUAGCCGGCCUGAGAGGGUGACCGGCCACAUUGGGACUGAGAUACGGCCCAGGCUCCUACGGGAGGCAGCAGUGGGGAAUAUUGCACAAUGGGCGGAAGCCUGAUGCAGCAACGCCGCGUGCGGGAUGACGGCCUUCGGGUUGUAAACCGCUUUCGCCUGUGACGAAGCGUGAGUGACGGUAAUGGGUAAAGAAGCACCGGCUAACUACGUG